CUCGGCGCACGCGUGCAGCCGUCCCUGCCCCGCCCCCAGUAUAUACGGUCCGACCUGCGGGCCGGUUCCCCACACCCCAUUCCAUUCCCCAUCUCAGACAGCCCAAAUCUCCAAAUCCAAAACCUAGCUCCCAGCGAUGUCUCCCUGCCAUGAUCCCCGCCGCCGCUGAUAUCGUUGGACCCGCCGCCCGCGGGGCCCUCCGAGGCCGCUAGGCCGUCGGCCUCCCCGCAGAAGCAGUCGGAGCCUUCCGGCACUGGGGCACCGCCGCCGCCGUGCUAGGGGCCGCCCACGAGAAGAACGCCUUGUGGGUCGACAACCUGCCCGCGCACACAAGCGAGGAAGACGUCAUGGCGGCCUUCGCCCUGCACGAGGCGCUCGAUUGCAUCAUCACACGCGCCGGCUCCUGCAGCUACGUGUUCGUCGUUUUCCGCUUUGUCGCCGAGUCUGGAGCCGCCCUCGAGGUGCUCCGCGCGUUCAUCUCGGUCGAGUACACCUCGUCGGAACGGUCAGAAGCAGGCAACUUCAAUAGUAGAGGAUCAUUGCCACCCGGUGAAAUGGGAGUUGGACAUGCAAAGGUUCUGCUGGAGUACGAAUGAGAGAGGCAAAAAUUCCUACCAAUGUUCUCCGGGUGGGUUUACCCAAUACACAUAAAGUUAACGAGGAGGCACUAAGGCGGGCUAUGGCAGCACAUGGUGUGGUUACAGACAUCAGAGUUUUUCCAGAAAGGCGGUAUGCUUUUGUGGAAUUUGCAACUAUUGAAGGAGCUUCUAAUGCUAAGAAUCUUCUAGAUGGGUGUCUUUUCAAUAAUACGAGGAUUCAUGUUCUUUUCUCCGGCAGUGGGCUUGAUAACCUAACACCGCUUGUUGGGUUUCCUAGAUCAGAGAUUUACAGCGACAGUCCUCAUGCCGCAUGCGAUUAUUUUGGUGCUGGUCACAGUAGUCAUGGCACAUCACAAGGGUAUGAUCCUCGACGUGGAAGGUCAAGAUAAGUGGACUAUGGUGCAAUGCCAAUCACUAGUGGUAUCCUUCCAGCACCUGAAGCUGGCUCAUCUUUGUUGUCCGGACAUUCUGCUCAUAGUGCACUUGAUCCGAGAGAAGCCAAAAGGGUGAGGCCAGAUGCUGGCAUCAACCCUUAUGGAUGGGUAGGCACUUAGGGUCUUCUGCCGAGUCGGGUAGCUUUUUUUAACCUUGAUCUUUAGUGAAUCAUUUUCUACGACUUAUCGAUUGUUUUUUCCGGACAUUUAGCAAAUUGUUUUUCGGAUUGGGGAACAAGGGUCAGGUUGGGUAGCUCUUUUUUUCCUCGGAUCUUUAGCGAAUCGUGUUCUACAACUUAUGGAUGGCAGUGGUGGUAAUUGUUUGCAACUUCAGGGGCAAAGUCAAGACGAACGGGCAGAAGCACGAAUCCAUUUAUUAGGGUUCAAGAAUGUGAUGUGGUAGUGAAGUAUAUUGUGGUCAUUUGUGUUGUGGUAGAGACACUUUCUUUUAUUAGGGUCGGGACGUACGGGCAGAAGCACGAACCAUAGAUACAUACUUAUGAUUGUUUGCGUUGUGGUAGAGACACUUACGUUUAUUACGGCCAUUUACAUUAUUUCUAUGUUUUGUAGUGUAGUAUAUUAUGCCAAUGAGAUAAUGUAUGCAUUCCUUAUUUUUGAGAAGUUUUUAAGAGGGAAAGUUAUUACUAACAAACUCCUUGAAUUAAAUUAAAAGGUGUAUAUGAAGGCCAUGUUUUUGCGAUUAUUUUUCUCAAGGCGGCAUAAUCAGAUGCCCACCCACACGGCAAGGCCAUCCCUGCCCCACUCACAACAUAUAGGGAUAUAGAUGCAUAAAAUAUCUAGUACCUAUGGUAUGCUCUGAUUUAUGUCUGAGUGAUGUACUAAUAAGGAAUGAUGUACUAAUAAGGAAUAAUCCUUGGUUAGUCAUAGUUCUUUAUUUCUUGAGUGAAAUUGCUCCAUUCAUGUGCUAAUGUUGUGUAAUGAGUUGUGCACAAGUGACACAAUUUGCAGUUAUUCAGACUGUGAUUCGAUAUAAAUAUGAAGUGUAUUUUAUCUAUGAUCUAUUUCACUUUAAGUUAGACCAUUCAUAGCUAUAUCAUAGUUUUUUUUGCUAGGACUACUUGUAUGAGGAUUUUAUUCAUCUAUUUCACUACAGAAAUAGGUAUGCCUGCUUAUCGCAUUUGGUCUUUGAUUGGGUUUUACACGAUAGAGCUAUUAGGAACCUAUGUGUCGGAGGAAUUAGUUCAUCUAUUUCAAAGUAGGAGGCAGACGAAGAGUUUAAAGGAUUGUAAAGAUUGAAGGUGUUGAAUUCUCCAUUGGUCAAACUUUUGCAUACAUCGACUCUGAGUAGCUGGAAGAUGCCAUUUCUACCUAUAAAGUCGUGAAUGGGACAUAUUUUAUACUCCUCUUCGCCGUAUAGUUUGGAGGGAUAUGGUUCGAAUCCAUAUGGGUUAAUGAAACAUGAUUAAUAAAACAUUAACAUAAACAACAAUGUGCAUGCUUGUAUGAUGUAUAGAAAUGUUGUAACAACACAUACAUAAUCUUAUGAUUAUUUGUGUUUCUCUAGAGACACUCACUUUACUUAGGGUCAUUUACUUUAUUCUAUUUUGGGUAGUGAAGUAUAUUAUGCCAAUGAGAUAUUGUAUGCAUUCCUUCUUUUUGAGAUGUAAUUAAGUCGGAAAGUAAUUACUAACUAACUCCAUGAAAUAAACUAAAAGGUGUCUAUGAAGUUCAUGUUGUUGUGAGUAUUUUUUCCCAAGCGAAGGAUAAUCGGGUUCGAGCCGACUACGCUCGGCCCUCCGCCCCCACCCCACCCCUGAAGGUAAUACGUAUGAGUGCGGCCCCAUAGGGAACAUUUGGACAAGAAUAUGUCACGGGGAGAGGAUAUGGUUGCGAGCGGUUGCGGUGGGCGGGCCCCAAAGCCAUGUCUCCCCAGAAAUAAGAUAACGACUAACUAUCUAUGUUUCUAUUUCUUUGUGUUUAUUUUGCUAAAUAGAUUGAGGCGAUGCAAUCUUGGAUUAUGAAUGAGAUAUUUGCCCUUGGUUAUUAAGGCGUAAUGAAAAGUUUGAACUAUGUGCUGGGUAAACUUUCUUGUUUUGAGAAGGUCACACUUAACAAUUCUUGGUGAUGGGAUUGUUUUUUUAGUGUUCCGGUGAUGGGAAUGGGCGCUUGUAUGAUGUCGAAGCGGGUAUAGAAAAGGUGCCGCCCACGGACUUAGCGUAGCUACGCCCGCAGUAUAUACAGUCCGGCGCACGGGAUAGUUUCCUCACUCUGCUCCAUUCCCCGUGACUGACAGCCUAAAUCCCCACAUACUAACCCCAGCUCUCGCUAAUCUCUCCCUACCCUGGUCCCCUCUGCCACGGAUGUCACCGGAUCUACCGUCUACGGAGACCUCUAUGGUCGUAGAGGCGACUAGGACAUCAGCCUCACCGCCGAAGGAAUUGGAUCCCGCCGGCGUUAGGGGUGCAGCCUCCGUCGCCGCCAUGCAAGUUGCCGCCCACGAGAAGAACGCGCUGUGGGUCAGCAACCUGCCCGCGCAUGCGUGCGAGGAGGACGUCGUGGCGUCCUUCUCCCCGCACAAGGCACUCGACUGCAUCAUCAUGCGUGUCGGGUACCGCAACUACGCCUUCAUCAUUUUCCUCUCCAUCGCCGAGUGUCAGACCGCCCUCGAGGUGCUCCGCGGGUCCAAGGUCAAGGGCACCUUCAUCCUGAUUGAGUUCGCCUAGCCGGUAAUAUCUCAACCCCUCUCCCCCCUCUCGUAUCCGCUCCGACCUUGGAUCCGCCUAGGAUCUGGCUGCACUUUGUGAUGUAAAAUUUUCAAUAAUUAGGACUUCGGUGUUUGUCAUUUGCGGUUUAUUUAGGCGGUGUGGGCUGAGGCCUCCAGCAGCUCUGAUAUAUGUAGUUAUUCCAGUGGAGACACGAUGGAUCAUCGGCGACGGGGUGGUCUGGCGGAGGCUCGCAGGUGGCUAGAGGCAGCAGCGCUCAGAGUCCAAGGAAGCGUGGGGCAUGAGGCCCUUGAUAUGGCGGAUGGGCACCUGUGAGCCGAUAGCGACGGGAAACCUUGACACCGGUGAAUGGCCUAGCAGGAAGCUGUGGCAGUGGUUCUUGGGCGCCAGAGGCGGCAGCCACGGGGAGGUUUGUGUGGUGGGAAACGUCGGCAGCGCACGGGAAGGCUAGGUCGUUCGGAUUUUCUUUAUAACUGCAGGCCAUCUGGAUUGGGUGAAGAAGGGUCGAGUUGGGCAAUUUUUUCUGAAUCAAAUAGUUUUCCAGAUUGGGGAACAAGGGUCGGGUCGGGCAGCUCUUUUUUGUUCCGGAUCUUUAGCGAAUCGUUUUCUAACACUUAUGGAUGCCAGUGGUGCGUAAUUGUUUUUCGGAUCUUUAGCAAAUUGUUUUCAAGAUUAGCGACAAA